CCGUGACGGAGCAAUACGCGUGAGGGAUGACGGCCUAUGGGUUGUAAACCUCUUUUUCAGGGAGGAAUCAAUGACGUGUACCUGAAGAAUAAGCAUCGGCUAACUCCGUGCCAGCAGCCGCGGUAAGACGGAGGAUGCAAGUGUUAUCCGGAAUCACUGGGCGUAAAGCGUCUGUAGGUGGUCCAAUAAGUCAACUGUUAAAUCUUGAGGCUCAACCUCAAAAUCGCAGUCGAAACUAUUAGGCUAGAGUAUAGUAGGGGUAAAGGGAAUUUCCAGUGGAGCGGUGAAAUGCGUAGAGAUUGGAAAGAACACCGAUGGCGAAGGCACUUUACUGGGCUAUUACUAACACUCAGAGACGAAAGCUAGGGUAGCAAAUGGGAUUAGAUACCCCAGUAGUCCUAGCCGUAAACAAUGGAUACUAGAUGUUGAACAGAUCGACCUGUGCAGUAUCAAAGCUAACGCGUUAAGUAUCCCGCCUGGGAAGUAUGCUCGCAAGAGUG
rnacentral:rRNA from 1 species